GCUUUUCUUUCAAACCUCAUUCGUUUUCAGUCAUCUUGGUCAGAAAGUUCCUGCUUCAGAGCUGAAGUGGCUUCCAACAUUUUGGUGACCUUCAUCUUGACUUACAAUCAGAAUAAUAUUCAAAAUACUUAGAAGAUGCCAGAGGGACACUGACCUAUCAGAACAGGAGAUACCCUUUUACAGCUCUACACUAAGGCCUUCAACAGAUUGGAUGCAGCCGUCUACAUUGGGAAGGGCAAUCUACUUUACUCAGUCAACUGAUUCAAAUGUUAAUCUCCUCCAUAAACACCCUCACAGACACAUCCAGACUGUUUGAACAAAUAUGCGGCACCCCAGGGACCAGUCAAGUUGACACAUAAAAUUAAC